GCCUCUGGCUCCUGAGCGGCGGGGUUCCACGCUGCGGAGAGGGGCCGGCCGUUCUGGGCGAGGGGCUGCAUCCUCCACCUGCGAGUCUCGGCCGCCGGGCCUCUGGCUGCUCCCCCGGGGUGUCUUCGGAGGUCGGGGGGCUGCCUAGCUGUGGGUUUGCUACCCCACAUGGCGACCCUGGGGCUGUGGGAGCGGAGCAGUGCUGAGGUCGCCCCACGGAGAGCGGGCACAGGGACCUGGGUGUGUCCGGCGGGAGUCCCAUCCCGGAGCCAGGGAACGGGGCGUCCUGCUGACCCGGGCGGGGAUGCGGGGACGGCGCGGUGGCCCCACGGCUAGGCCGGGGCCGAGGGCUCCGGGACGGGGGCGGCCUGUUGGGGGGGCGAGCCCUCCGUCCCACUCUCCCGGCGACCCCAGCCCUCCCGGGGCGAGCUGCGGGGCGGAGGCGAGCCCUCCCCACUCUCACGGGGUAGUCUGUAGGGGUGGGGGCGGUCUGCAGGGGGAGGACGGCCCGUGGUGGGGGGCGAGCCCUCCAUCCCACUCUCCCGGGGCCCCCAGCCCUCCCGGGGCGAGCUGCAGGGCGGAGGCGAGCCCUCCCCACUCUCCCGGGGUAGUCUGCAGGGCAAGCCUUCUGCCCCGCUCCCCGGGGGCACCCAGCUCUGCGUGUGUGUCUGCGUUGUGUGUGUGUGUGUGUGUGUGUGUGUGUGUGUGUGUGUACGCGCGCGCGCCCUCCAUCCCAUUCUCCCGUGGGCCCCAGCCCUGGGGGUCCAUCUGAGCCACCCUUCCAGCUCCCAUCCAUCAGAUUCCUCAGGCUGCGGCGGGUGACAGGCGUUGUGCAAAGUGUCCUGUAGACAAGCUGUUCAGGUUGGGAAAGCUUGCCUCGGGUCCUAAAGCUGGUAAGGCCUGGAUCCGGGCUUCAGUUGCUUGCCCUGGGUUUCUGGUCUGAGGGCUCCCCUGAGGGGAGAAGGGACCAGGGUCGCCCUUGUGGCAGGAGGAUGUCUGGUCCACCCCCACCUCUGACAGCCCGUGAGGGCUCAUCUCUCCACACUGGCAGUGUGUUGUCAGGGUGGGGGAGUCUUGCACUGAUACUGGGGUAGCUUGAGCCUGCAGGCCCUGUGAGUGACAGCCCUUCAGCACCCCACACUCAGAGGCCUUGCCCUCCAGUUUCCUGACAGCCCCUGCGGGGGGUGUGGUUCCCCUCUACCUGGUCUGCCCACCCCACUGAGCCCUGUAGGAAGCCUUGGCAUCCCUAAUCUUUGCUCCCUUUUCUAGUGAUUUAAUGACUCCUUAGACAACCCGUGUCAAGUCCAAUGAAGCAUGUGCCUUCCAAAACGAUUUCUGGUGGCUUAAAAUAAAAGGCAUGUAUACAAAACAUUAUCAAAAUAGAAAUAAAAAUCUAAAGGAACCCACUUGUGAGCUUUCUUGCAGCAGGCUCACAGAGGGAAAGAUUAUGACUUUCCAGGUGCCAAUACUCAAAAAGGAGGAAGGGUAUCAAUUUCUCUGGAGAGUGUUUUUGUUGGGGCUAAAUUUAAACCCACAUCCACCCACACACACCUCAAAGCAAAUGGCCAAUUCCUUGCUCGGGGUUGGAAACAUUCCAAAGGUGAGUUUACUGCUGUUCACCUAUUCAUGCAUUCUCUAUGCAAAUAGACACAAGUGUGACACCCCCCCACCCCCCCCCCAAACCCAACUCUGACAUAAAGUUCUCACCAUAAAAGAUGGGCAAGCGCAGAGCGGCGGGUGUCUUGAUGGCACUUAAGCAGUUAUGUAAGUGUCUGUCGCCUGUUUGUUGGUCUAGAUCUGGGGGAGAGGCUGCAUAUGAAGGAAAGAAGCUGGGAAGUCUCGGAGGGGCUUCCUGGCAGCCGGAGUGGAUGUGUGGGCAGGUCGUGGGCACUUAAGAGUAACGGGCCCAGCUCAUUGCCUGCAGUUGGCCGUUCUCCAGGGGGUGGCAAAUUCCCUUAAGUGAGUUCACUUAAAAUGAGAGCUAAGUAGCGAUAGUGUCACCGGUGGGGCAGAAGAGUUCGAGAAUUUAUCUUAAAAAGUGGCGACCAAAGAAAAUAUCUUGAAAUUGUCUUGUAUUCAAGGAAUUCUAGGUUAUGAAUGCCAUCCUCUAUUAAUUUGCGCCACCAAAGAACCAAGCGUUGGUUUGGCAGGGUCAUAAUUUUCCCAACAAAUCCUCCGACAGCAGCGUUCCCAGCUGUGUAGGGAAGAGGGUGGUCCAAGGGCACCAUCCAUUUACCCCAGAGCCUCUCCUAAUCUUGUGAUAUGCACGUCUGCCCUUGGGAUGCUGUCCUCUCCCCAGCCGGCCCCGCCGCCUGCCUGUCUGGUACUACCAGGCCCUCCCACACUUGCCGCCACGUUCCCCAGUAUCGACCUUCACCAGCUUUCUGAAAUCUCGCGUCUUUCCCGAUGCGCCGCUCGCCCACAGCCUCACAGCGUGCUUUCCAGAGCUUGCAGCUCUGUGCCUGUGCGUGGGGUGGGGGAGACGGAGGGGCAUUUCAAGGGAGCCCGGUCUUGUAAACGGUCAAUGCAUUUGGGAAAUGCUUUGUGUUGUGAUGACUCUGUUUCCCUCCAUGGGCUCAUGUGCCUAAGACGUCAGCCUUGGAAGUUUCCGGAAUCUACCCCCUCGGCCCUUACUAACGGUGCCUUGGGACAACUUUCCCCAUGGGCCUCAGCUUCUUGGCUCAGAAACGGAAUGUGCCGGCCUGGCAGGAGUGAGUGAGGUGGCGUGUGUGCCGUGGUUUCCCGGAGCUUUAUGGAAUUCGCUCUGACUUUACGUAUAUUCAUACUUACUUACAUAUCUGUGCAUUAUUUAUUACCUUUAUUAUUAAUCAUCUGUCCUUUCAUCAUCAGGUGAGUAACAACUUGCUGCCACAUGCCGGGUGAGGAACGGCUUGAAAGCAAAUCAGCCUCGGAGACUCCGAGACCCUUGACCCUCCAGGCCUGCAGGAGGCUCUCCGAGCUGCUGUCCGCGAGUCUGCCAGAGGGAGGGUCUCUGCUGUCCACGCCCUCCCCAACACCAUCUGCCCCAGUGAGAGACUCUGCUGCGGCUCGGGGGUCUGCCCAAGGGAGGGGCUCAUAGACACAGGAGUGUCUACACAGGCAGUGAGCCGGCGUGACAGCAGGGAGUGACGCCAUGCACGACGGUCACGGACACCCUCGAACACACAGUGGCACGGAAUCAGAAGCGGUUCUAAUUAGGGUUCUCCACAAGACAGAAAUUACCUUCAGCAGCACCCGGUUUUCUGGAAAAACAAUGAACAAUUGAUUUUUUUUUCCAAACCAGGCUUAUCCAAGCAGAGGGAAACACAGGCCACCAAGGUUUUCGGAGAAAAAAAGAAAAAGAUUAAAGGCAACCAAUCGACAAUUGCGUAUAUUUUAUUACAAAAACAAAAUUCCGGGUGUCUGUGAAAUUCAAAUUUUUCCCAAGGGAAAUUAACGAAUACCAUUAAAACUGAGUCCAGUUUAUAAGGAUCUGGGGAGCGGUUCAUCCGGAAAGGGGAUAAAUCCUCUUCCCAGGGAGCAUUUAAAGAUCUUUUCUGGAAUGUCUGCAGCACAGGGUAAGAAGGAGCAACAUCAUCUUCCCGCGGAGGCUGGUGGUGUUCCCUGUUGGGUGUAGCCUCUGCUCAGCCGUGGGAGGCAAGGGCUGUGUGGCCUACCCGGUCCCGAGCUUCGGAGUUUUAUGUCGGUGGGACCGUUUUCACUUAACGCCGCACAGUAAACAUAAAAAAAAACCCUUGUUUUUGGAUCCGGUUCCCUGCCCACCUGGAUCCGGGAACUCUGGACGGCGCAUUGAUCCCCUCGAACUCGGUAAAGCUUGGCCGGUAUAACGUUCUGUUCCCAGAGCGAGAUUUUCUGGCCUCCUUAGAAAUGCUGACAAUGGCCUUGCACCCACGUAUUUGUUUAGCUCCUUAAUAAAUGAAACCUUAAUCCAU